UACGUGAGGGGCAAGCGUUGUCCGGAUUUAUUGGGCGUAAAGCGCGUGUAGGCGGCUUGGCAAGUCCGCUGUGAAAACUCGAGGCUCAACCUCGAGAUGUCGGUGGAAACUGCCUGGCUAGAGUCCGGAAGAGGAGUGUGGAAUUCCUGGUGUAGCGGUGAAAUGCGCAGAUAUCAGGAAGAACACCUAUGGCGAAGGCAGCACUCUGGGACGGUACUGACGCUGAGACGCGAAAGCGUGGGGAGCGAACAGG
rnacentral:rRNA from 1 species